rnacentral:rRNA from 1 species
AGGGUUCGAUUCUGGCUCAGGAUGAACGCUGGCGGCGUGCCUAAUACAUGCAAGUCGAACGAGGUAGCAAUACCGAGUGGCGAACGGGUGAGUAACACGUAGGUAACCUGCCCUUAAGCUUGGGAUACCCAGAGGAAACUUUGGCUAAUACCGGAUAACAACAGAGAAGGCAUCUUCUUUGCUUGAAAGGCCCCUUCAAGGGUCACUUAAGGAUGGACCUGCGGCGCAUUAGCUAGUUGGUGAGAUAACAGCCCACCAAGGCGAGGAUGCGUAGCCGAACUGAGAGGUUGAUCGGCCACAUUGGAACUGAGACACGGUCCAAACUCCUACGGGAGGCAGCAGUAAGGAGUUUUCGGCAAUGGGGGAAACCCUGACCGAGCAACGCCGCGUGAGCGAUGACGGCCCUAUGGGUUGUAAAGCUCUGUUGUAAGCCAUGAAUGACAGCUUGAGGAAAUGCAAGUUGUUUGACGACAGCUUACCAGAAAGCCACGGCUAACUACGUGCCAGCCGCCGC